UACGGAGGUGGCAAGCGUUGCUCGGAAUCACUGGGCGUAAAGGGCGCGUAGGCGGGGAGGUAAGUCGGGUGUGAAAUCCCUCGGCCCAACCGAGGAACUGCGCCCGAGACUGCUUCUCUUGAGUCCCGGAGAGGAAGGUGGAAUUCCCGGUGUAGCGGUGAAAUGUGUAGAGAUCGGGAGGAACACCGGAGGCGAAGGCGCCUGCCUGGCAGUGUAUUGACGCUGAGGUGCGAAAGUGCGGGGAGCAAACAGG
rnacentral:rRNA from 1 species